CCUGUCUGCUCUUUUUUGGAUCCAAAUCCCCACACAAAAAGGGGCUUUGUGAGGGCGCAAUCAGUGUUAAGGAGCUGCACUGAAAAUCAUUGCUUUGUGACCGUAAGAGGCCCUUCUCAAAAAAAGAAGCAUCAAGAGAAUUUAAGCUAUAGAAUUUAAAACAAACAUAAUUACAAAAAAAGAAAGCAGUCUGGUGCCACAUUGCAUAGGAGUUACUUUAACACACUCUACCUGGGGCUACCUUUAAAAAGAGCUCAGAAACUUCAAUGGCUCAAAGAGCUGCAGACACUUUGCUGACCAGGGCUGGCUAUAGGCAGCAUAGGACUCCCAUAUUAGAACAGCUCCAUCUGCCUAAUUGUCUGUUUCUGGACACAAUCAAUGUUUGCACAAGAGGAAGAUCGAUUUGGAGUGCCGCAUUUUCAAAAAAGAUGGACACACGACUAUUUCUUUGUGGAGCUGAAAGGCAUGCCCGUGUGCCUCAUUUGUGGUGAGGCCCUCUCCGUCCUGAAGAAGGCCAACCUGCAGAGGCACUACAGGACAAAGCACAUCCAGUACAAGGGAGUUCCAAGGGCAGCUGCGCCUGGAGAAGGUCAAGGCGCUGAAAACAGACCUGUUGGGUAACCUGUGGCCCCUCCAGAUGAUGUGAUAUUGCAACUCACGUCUUCUUUAGCCGUUGGCCACGCUGGCUGGGACUCAUGGGAGCUGGAGUCCAAGGAUCUAGGUCCACACAUGCCGGGGACAAUUCAAAUCCCUCCUCAGUCGUGAAGACGAUUGGGCGACUUAAAGCUGGUCACCAUCUUUAUGGAAAACCUCCCUCGCAGGGUUGCUGUGUGCGUGAAAGCAAUAUAUCUUGUGGUGGGCUUGAUGAGGGGAGUGUGGAACAGAAAUGUAAUUCAUAGGUAAGAAGACAGGAAAUAAUUCUGAAUCUGACUGAAAAUAAAGGAUUCUUUGUCUCCAAAUUGCAUAUAGCAAGCACCUGUGUUGUUGAACUCUAGCAGAAGUCUGGUUCCUCAGCACUCUGCACUCUCUCUCUGGAAACCUCCAGCUGUCAGGUGACAGGAACCAGCCAAUGCCUCCCAGUUCAGAAACAGUCUGCCAAGAGCUGAGAUUGGAAGUGGACAACCAAGGAAACUUAGGGGAGCAUUUUCAUUUCCAUGCUUAUGAAUAUUGAAUUGAAUCAAUUCAUCUGAUGUGUUCAAAAUAGUAGAGAAAGUUUUGACAGGAAUUCGGGGAACUAGGAAUAUUUUUAGUUCCAUCUGGGUUGAUGGAUCAGCAAAUAGCUAGAGAGGAUUAAGGGGUGGGGGCGGGAAUCAGGCCUUGUUUCUCAUGUGACAGAUAACCGAUUCCACAGUUCUUAAAUGUGACCAUUUGCGACACAAGAUCUACCCACCAGGGAAGAAUGGCAGAUGAAGGUGAUGGACUAUAUGGAACUGGCGGAAUCCGAGACCAGGGAGAAGAGUUGGUGGAAGAAGAUUGGAAGAAAUUUAAAGACUAUUUACAGAAACAUUGUAAAAUUAAUGAAUGUUAGAAAGAUAUUGGAAUGAACUUAUGUGGUUUUAGCAGAAAUGUUAUAAUGGAUUAGGAAAAAAUAGACUGUUAAUUGGUGAAACGAGGGAAAGUAAAGUUAUAUCAUAUUAUGAUAAAUUACAGGACAAAAAUUGUAAAAGAUGGAAAGGAUUUGCUGAAAUAGUUAACCGAACUAGAAUACAAAAAAAGGGAGGUGUGAGGAGGUCAAGAAAACAAGCUAACGAAUGAUAAGUUAUAGGAAGAUUCGAUGUGUUAUUUUUUUAAUGGACUUUAUUUUUCUGUUUUUGUAUUUUUUCUUUUUUUUCUUUUCUUAUUAUGAUGUGUUGUUUUUGAUGUUGUUUAAUAUGAUGUUAUUAUUUUUUCUUUUUGUAACCUUUAAAACCUUAAUAAAUAUUAUUAAAAAUAAAUAAAUAAAUGUGACCAUUUGCUGCCUCCCAAAAUUAUGCUUAAGCCUUUCCCCUCCCCCCCAAAAAACAACAACAACUCAAACAUGGUAGCUGGUCUUGUCAAACGGGCCAAUAUAAGGUUCAUUCGUUUAUUUGUGUCCGACUCUUCAUGACCCCAUGGACCAGAGCACGCCAGGCAUUCCUGUCUUCUACUGCCUCCCGCAGCUUGGUCAAACUCAUGUUCGUAGCUUUGAGGACACUGUCCAACCAUCUCGUCCUCUGUCGUCCCCUUCUCCGUGUGCCCUCCAUCUUUCCCAACAUCAGGGGGGUCUUUUCCAGGGAGCCUUCUCUUCUCAUGAGGUGGCCAAAGUAUUGGAGCCUCAGCUUCACGAUCUGUCCUUCCCCUGAGCACUCAGGCCUGAUUUCCUUCAGAAUGGAUACGUUUGAUCUUCUUACAGUCCAUGGGACUCUCAAGAGUCUCCUCCAGCACCAUAAUUCUUUUUUUUAAAAUAAAUAAUAUUUAUUAAAGUUUCAAAGAAUUACAAAAAGAAAAAGAAAACAGA
rnacentral:lncRNA from 1 species